UACAGAGGGGGCAAGCGUUGUUCGGAAUUACUGGGCGUAAAGGGCGCGUAGGUGGCCUUCUAAGUUGAACGUGAAAUCCCUGGGCUCAACCCAGGAACUGCGUCCAAGACUGGGAGGCUUGAAUCCGGGAGAGGGAUGCGGAAUUCCAGGUGUAGCGGUGAAAUGCGUAGAUAUCUGGAGGAACACCGGUGGCGAAGGCGGAUCUCUGGGCCUUACCUGACGCUCAGGCGCGAAAGCGUGGGGAGCAAACAGG
rnacentral:rRNA from 1 species